rnacentral:rRNA from 1 species
GAUGAACGCUGGCGGCGUGCCUAAUACAUGCAAGUCGAGCGAACGGACGAGAAGCUUGCUUCUCUGAUGUUAGCGGCGGACGGGUGAGUAACACGUGGAUAACCUACCUAUAAGACUGGGAUAACUUCGGGAAACCGUAGCUAAUACCGGAUAAUAUUUUGAACCGCAUGGUUCAAAAGUGAAAGACGGUCUUGCUGUCACUUAUAGAUGGAUCCGCGCUGCAUUAGCUAGUUGGUAAGGUAACGGCUUACCAAGGCAACGAUGCAUAGCCGACCUGAGAGGGUGAUCGGCCACACUGGAACUGAGACACGGUCCAGACUCCUACGGGAGGCAGCAGUAGGGAAUCUUCCGCAAUGGGCGAAAGCCUGACGGAGCAACGCCGCGUGAGUGAUGAAGGUCUUCGGAUCGUAAAUCUCUGUUAUUAGGGAAGAACAUAUGUGUAAGUAACUGUGCACAUCUUGACGGUACCUAAUCAGAAAGCCACGGCUAACUACGUG